GGUCGAGAGCCGUGCGUUCUCCGAAAACACAACCCAGCCAAGCCUCACUGCUUCUUGACACAAUGCCUGCUUAACAAGGAAACAUCCGCACCAAUGGGUUGGAGGAAACACCGUACACCUGGCGAACGUGUCCGCGUGCUUUGCGCCCGGCCCGGACCAGAGGAGUCGCUAGUGCGAGAUGGGACGAGAACAACCCGGAUGACUCUGGGCCAAUUGUGCGCCGCCCCAUGGGUCUCCCGUUCACGGCCGGCUGGGACAGAGGCACAGCUCUGCAUUUUAGACCACUCGGGAGGCUACCUUAACAUCAGUAUUACCAUUUUAGUACAUUCUCUAUAGGUAUGUACUUUAAAAUGGACAAAUUUGGCCACUUGGGUACAUUUUUGGGAAAACUCGUGAGGGACACCUGGGAAACUUCAUACUAAAUAUUAUGUACUUCACUCAUUUUUGACUGUAUCAGUAUGAAACUGUGCACACACGUUGUCCUGUUGGGGACAACAACAACAACAACUAUAGAAAACCGAUGUUUUUUGUUUUGAUCUAUUGUGUUAUUCUCCUGCAUUAUUCUCACCCCUCCACAAACUUCAAAGUGGUUCCAUUCAAAUAGUAUCAAGAAUCAGCAUAUCCUUUCUUCAGGUCCUGAGCUACAGGCAGUUAAAUUUGGGUAUGUGAUUUUAGGUGGAAAUUGAGAUGGAUCCUUACCUAUGCAGGUAUGGAUCCAUUUUGUCUAAAUGGAUAUUUUAACACCAGUAUUUAAUUUGUCCUUAAAGUGGUAGUUCAAUGUUCAAUUUAAAGUUUGUCCUUUUUUUAAAAUAUAAAUGUAUUGGUAUGUACAUAACAUUUCCAUACAACUUUUUUUACUUGUACAGUUUAGCUGAACGCAACAUGUUUGAGGGAUCCCGUCCUUCUGCUGAACAUGAUGAAUAUUCUCUUUGGAAUCUGGUUCGUCUGAACUCCUGUUGAGAAAAGGAAUAGCUGACUUCAGCAGAGGGCUACGUAUCCCUGUCAUAAAGGCUACAUAUGUUAUGUCUAACCCCUCCAUGUGCCUGCCUGGUAUCUGGUCCCCAGCAAGACAUUAUCUUGAAGCUUUUGUCUGUGGCUGAACAAGGAGCCGUGAUGCCAACUAGACUGGUCCUGAUGGUGGUACCAGACUGGUCACUAGAAGAUGCCUGUUACUGAACUACCACAAGAGCUCAUUGGCUGCUGAAGUGUUGCUGUGCUGGUGGAGCGGGAAGCUCUCCUGUUUGGUCAGCAAGGAAGUGAGACAUCUUGUUGGAACUGGGGAAAACGAGGCCAAUUCAACUCUGACUGUGUUUUGAUGUAAAAAUAAAUCUACAAAUUAA